rnacentral:rRNA from 1 species
GACAGAGGUGCCAAGCGUUAGGCGGAAUCACUGGGCUUAAAGCGCGUGUAGGCGGCUUUGCAAGUCGGAUGUGAAAGCCCUCGGCUCAACCGAGGAAGUGCGUUCGAAACUGCAGAGCUUGAGUACCGGAGAGGGUGGCGGAAUUCCCCAAGUAGAGGUGAAAGUUCGUAAGAUAUGGGGAGGAACACCGAUGGCGAAGGCAGCCCCCUGGGAUAACACUGACGCUCAUGACACGAAAGCGUGGGGAGCAAACAGG